UCUCCUGGAAACGGGUGGUAAUGCCGGAUGCUCCGACUCCUCGCAUGGGGUGUCGGGAAAGAUUUCAUCGGUAUGGGAUGGGGUCGCGUCCUAUCAGGUAGUCGGCGGGGUAACGGCCCACCGAGCCUACGACGGGUAGCCGGCCUGAGAGGGCGACCGGCCACAUUGGGACUGAGAUACGGCCCAGACUCCUACGGGAGGCAGCAGUGGGGAAUAUUGCACAAUGGGCGCAAGCCUGAUGCAGCGACGCCGCGUGCGGGAUGACGGCCUUCGGGUUGUAAACCGCUUUUGAUCGGGAGCAAGCCUUCGGGUGAGUGUACCUUUCGAAUAAGCACCGGCUAACUACGUGCCAGCAGCCGCGGUAAUACGUAGGGUGCAAGCGUUAUCCGGAAUUAUUGGGCGUAAAGGGCUCGUAGGCGGUUCGUCGCGUCCGGUGUGAAAGUCCAUCGCUUAACGGUGGAUCUGCGCCGGGUACGGGCGGGCUGGAGUGCGGUAGGGGAGACUGGAAUUCCCGGUGUAACGGUGGAAUGUGUAGAUAUCGGAAAAGAACACCAAA
rnacentral:rRNA from 1 species